UGGGGAAUCUUGCGCAAUGGGCGAAAGCCUGACGCAGCAACGCCGCGUGGGGGAUGAAGGCUCUCGGGUUGUAAACCCCUUUCAGCAGGGACGAAUCAAGACGGUACCUGCAGAAGAAGCCCCGGCUAACUACGUGCCAGCAGCCGCGGUAACACGUAGGGGGCAAGCGUUGUCCGGAUUUAUUGGGCGUAAAGAGCUCGUAGGCGGCUGAGUAAGUCGGGUGUUAAAUCCCCAGGCUCAACCUGGGACACCACCCGUUACUGCUCUGGCUAGAGUCCGGUAGGGGAGCGUGGAAUUCCUGGUGUAGCGGUGAAAUGCGCAGAUAUCAGGAGGAACACCAGCGGCGAAGGCGGCGCUCUGGGCCGGUACUGACGCUGAGGAGCGAAAGCGUGGGUAGCAAACAGG
rnacentral:rRNA from 1 species